ACCCCCUCUCACUGAUAAAGUGCCCCACGGAAUAUAUGGAGGAAUUGUGAUCAACAGACAUCAAACUGGCAGAUUGAGCAGGAGGAGAGGAACAUGGCGAUAGAAAGAAGCUAUUUCUGGCACAAAGCCCAAGGACCAGUGUUGGUAAAUGCCCCCAGUGGGGAAAGUGCUGUGUCAUAGCUGCAAGAAAGCACUUAAAUGCCUGAGAACUGAGUUCCCCUGACCAGUCAUUUUCUCCAGUGCCUUUAAAACUGGGACCUGAAAAAUGCCAGUGAAACUACUAGGUGUCCUCAUCUUUCCUCAGUCACUAGGGAAUGACUUGGCACCUUCCCUCUCCCGCUCCCUCCCUGCCAUGCUGCUUUUCAGACAGAAGCAGACUACAGAAGAAGGAACCACCUACCUACCCACCAGGUUCGACACAACGUGGACUUUCAUUGCCCUAUUCAGACAUCUUACCCAGUCUUUUAGUGGGACCCAACAGGUAAAUGGUUUGCUGAUUGAAUUUAGUUUUAUUGCUAUUAUUAUUUUUUAUUGUCAGAAGGCCGAAGAAAACAAAGAGAGGUGAUUAAGCCAAACAGCCUUCCUAGCACCCCUGUUCUGCUGUGGUUACAGCCAUCUAUGAUAACACUGGUCAACGUCUUCUUUCUGGGACAAAAGUUGAACACUAAUCGAUCCUGUAUUCUGGACCUUUCAGGUGAUUAAUUGCUACACAUUCAUUCAGCACAGAGAGCUAAUGUUAACAACUUCUUUCCAAGAGGAGAAUAACCCACAUGACUUAUUUUUAAACA